UAGAAUUUUUAUUUGUAGUAAGCAAAAUUCACGUUCUACUUACCAUUUCAUCUAUAUGAGGAUAUUUAUCAGACUCACUAGGAACUAUCUUCGGAGUCCCUUUUAGAAAAACACUGGAUCUAGGGAGUAAAGAACGGGUUAGUUUCCCGACUUUCUGUAAACCUUCAGUGGAAGACAGUGAAGUGAAGUUACAAAGAGACUGUCACACUGUUUUGUCCAGCAGACUCGUGGAAAUGCCUAGUCUUUUCUGACCCAGCCACCAUAGGGAUUCUUGUACCACGGAGAAGCAGCUCCUCCUCAAGUGUUUUGGAGAGUGAUUCUGCUCCGUGAGCUGUGUCUGGAAGGCAUUUGCCUUCUUUUCUGAAGUAAUGAUAGAGGCAGUCUUUCCCAGGUCAAACACACACCUGAUUACAAUGGAGGUAAUGUGGGAAUUGCAAAGUUGGAGCUUUGUUGCUGCCUUCUGGGACCCAAGGGAAGGGCGUGUGGACUCCCUGCUUCAAGGUGAGGGUGUUGACAUGCGGAUGCUCUCUCCUGACCCCUCCUUGUCUUUCAUUUUUCUCCUUUGGCUUCAAAGCAGCCACUCAUGUCUCUUAGACAUGUGCCCUCGGCCUCCUUUGGGAAACUUCAGUCUCCUCACAAGAGGAAGAAAUAAUCCCCUCAACCCAUACCUUUGAUACCUUCUGGGAUCUUAGAAACUCGAGCGCCUGGUGCUAGCGGAAGCUCUCCUCUGCUCUUCGGCAGGAGCUGGCCUCAGAUACCACGGCUAAGAACGAAUGCGGGUGCCUAGUUCCUGUUUUGUCUACCUGAUAGCGAAAGUUAUCGCUGAUUCCCUCACCUGUUUACCUGAGAAGGACGCACAAUAUACUAUACUAAGGAGAGAAUUGUUUUUUAUAAUCGCACAUGAAAAAACUUGUAUUUCUCAUGUCCCAUAACGUUGACUGUGUCGUGUAUAAAAUAAUCAGCCCCUACAGUUCUGUGCAAAUGAGCAGUUUAUUUGUUAUGUCCUUGGACUAUUUCUCCCAUAUUAAAACAAGCUUUAUGAAGGCAGAGGUGUUUGUUCUGUUCACUGAUCUA
rnacentral:lncRNA from 1 species